AUUGAACGCUGGCGGCAUGCCUUACACAUGCAAGUCGAACGGUAACGCGGGGCAACCUGGCGACGAGUGGCGAACGGGUGAGUAAAGCAUCGGAACGUGCCCAGUAGUGGGGAUAGCCCGGCGAAAGCCGGAUUAAUACCGCAUACGACCUAAGGGUGAAAGGGGGGGAUCGCAAGACCUCUCGCUAUUGGAGCGGCCGAUGUCAGAUUAGCUAGUUGGUGGGGUAAAAGCUUACCAAGGCGACGAUCUGUAGCUGGUCUGAGAGGACGACCAGCCACACUGGGACUAGGACACGGCGCAGACGCCUACGGGAGGCAGCAGGGGGGAAUUUUGGGCAAUGGACGAAAGUCUGAUCCAACCAUGCCGCGUGCGGGAAGAAGGCCUUCGGGUUGUAAACCGCUUUUGUCAGGGAAGAAAUCCUUUGAGCUAAUACCUCGGGGGGAUGACGGUACCUGAAGAAUAAGCACCGGCUAACUACGUGCCAGCCGCCGCGGUAA
rnacentral:rRNA from 1 species